CAGAGAAACAAGGAUCUCGUGUGCAUCCUUCUUCAAAGCAGUGUCAGAAUCAAACAUGUUCCACCUUGGGCAUCUUAUUGUCUUAUGCAGCUUGUGCGUUGGGACCUCAAGUCCACUUUCUGAGGCUAUCCACAGUAUCCUGAAGAACAUGGACUCUCUGAAUUCUCUCUUAGCAAAUUUUCUGAUUUUAACAUUACCUUCCCAACUCUUGAUGGAGUUUCUCAAAUUCACAGGAGAUCAACAGACUCUCAAGUCGACACUGACACAGAUAUCCUUCAAAACCGGAGUCUGACUAUAAGGUCACUUCAGGAAACCAUAGCUUGGUCAUUAGCCAAGGACAGGAUUCUAGAAGGUUUGAAAACACUGGAUUUGGGUACAUUAAUCCCAAAGUUAAGGUGAGUCAGUGCUUCUUUGCUCUCAGAAAAGGGACUACUCCUCUGAGGAGAUGAAUUCAAUUUCAGAGGUAGAUGGAUAAGCCUCUCGUUCCCCACAGAGAUGAAGAGUUCUAAGACAAGGCUCAUUAGAACUUGACUAAGACUGAGGCUGAGCUACAGGGCCAGUGUGAAUACUUCAUACAUCUGGGUUCCGAGGUUGCAAAUCAAGGAACCCAGAAUUUUGGAGCCGAAACUUGACCUGUCUUCCAGUGGUGAUGAUAUUACCCUAAGGAUGCCUGUGGUUUUGGUUGUAUCUGUAAGGGUGCUGUAAGUUGAGUCACUUGGACUUAUGGGGUCGGGUGGAAUAUGGCCAGUAUUGAGUAGUCACUUAAUUUCUAGUAACUACCUGACUUCUGCCCUCAGUUUGCUAACAUGUAAACGAG
rnacentral:lncRNA from 1 species